GAGGGUGCGAGCGUUAAUCGGAAUUACUGGGCGUAAAGCGCACGCAGGCGGUUUGUUAAGCUAGAUGUGAAAGCCCCGGGCUCAACCUGGGAAUAGCAUUUAGAACUGGCAGGCUAGAGUCUUGGAGAGGGGAGUGGAAUUCCAGGUGUAGCGGUGAAAUGCGUAGAUAUCUGAAGGAACAUCAGUGGCGAAGGCGACUCCCUGGCCAAAGACUGACGCUCAUGUGCGAAAGUGUGGGUAGCGAACAGGAUUAGAUACCCUGGUAGUCCAUGCCGUAAACGAUGUCUACUAGCCGUUGGGGCCUUUGAGGCUUUAGUGGCGCAGCUAACGCGAUAAGUAGACCGCCUGGGGAGUACGGUCGCAAGACUAA
rnacentral:rRNA from 1 species